rnacentral:lncRNA from 1 species
CCUAAGUCCUGUGAGGAAAUUGCUUCCGCCUUAAAGGACAAGGUCCAUGACAUCCCAAAGAAGGUUCUGUCUGUGAUUUGAACCAAGAAAGCUACAGGGGGGGGGGGUCACAGACAGCGUGUCAGAGGUCACACAGGUUCUAUGUGACAUAAGGUCCCACUACAUCUCGUGGCCUCGAGCUGAAUAAUUCCCAAGCAUGGCAAGGGCCUUCAAAGAAAGUGGAUUUCCAGGAGUGAUUCCAGUUGUCAUUUCUGGAUGUGUACACCGGAUGGCCUGAAUCUGUUCAUGAUGCCAGGGUACUUCGAAAUAUUAACCUUUUCCAGCACCUUGAGCAGGCCAACAUGGAUGAUUUCCACCUUCUCGGCGACUCAGCCUACCUCCUUGUCCCUUACCUCAUUAUGCCUUACAGGAACAAUGGGCAUUUCUCUCCAAUGCAGAAGAAAUUCAACUCCAUCUCACAGCUCCACGAGAGUUGACAUUGAAAUGGCAUUUGGACACCUCAAGGUCAAGUGGAGACGCCUCAAGUACCUGCCCAUGGUGGACAUUGAAAGGUCCCUGUGGUCACCACAGCAGCAUUUUGUGUUCCACAACAUCCGGCUGUGGCAUGAUGGUCUUGAAGACUGGGAGGCUGAUGCUCCGGUCCCUCAGGAUGUCAACGAUGAAGAGGCUGAGGUAAUGAGGAGGCCCUGACAAGUCUGGCUGAGCAACCAGUAGGCAUGUCCAGAGUAGACGACAGAGGAUGGAUCCCACUACAUGAGGCCGCAGUACAGGAGAAGAAAAGUAUUCUGGUGAUCGUUUUCUCAGCCUCCCCCAGGGUGCAGGGCAGUGCCGGACUCUGAAGGGAGAAAUGCCUCUCUUCCGGGAGAAUGCUACAUUCCUGCUACAGAACGGAUGCUGUCCUGACCUCCAG